UCAAUGACCAAAGCACAAUAUGACAUCUGAAAGGGACCGUCUUCCCUCAUAAUACUUCAUGGAAUGUGUGGGACAAUCUAGAAGUCCAGACUGUGGAACAAAAUGGAUCUGUGGACCAUUUUCCUGCAGUGGCCUUGAGAAGGGAUUUGACAAGCACUCUCACAUAUACUGAGAUAACAAGCCAGGAAUACAAAAAGUCAUGGCAGCUAUUGUUCAUUAUUGGAAACUGCAGGUUUGUACCAUUUAGAAAAAGUUAUUACUGGCUCCAAGAAGAUGGAGAAAUACCAGAUCUAUCACUGAAGACUGG
rnacentral:lncRNA from 1 species